CAGUUCACUCCAGCGGAAACUUGAAGAACAGCCCCCAUGUUUCUGCCAAAGCUCAAGUAACUUCCUCAGUUAAAACCAGUCGGCUAUAACAAACAAUCCAUCAAUCAAAACAAACAACUGCAAGUUGUUACACGUUACAUUCAACCUCAAUAACAAUCUAUCAGUUCGAACGCAUUC